UUUGCAUAAUGGAUUAACUAUAAAUUAUUAGAUUAAUUAUCACGAAGUAGUUCUGAGCUAAAUAUAAUAUAAUAUUAGUUUGUUAGAUCUGGUGUAGCAAAACCUUUCCCAAAAUUAUAUUUAGGGGUGAUAGGCCUCUCAAAAACUAGGAUAUCUUGAUUCCAAUAAAAUGUAUUUAGUACAGUCAAUACAUUUAUUAAGUGUUUAGGCUUAAUAACAAUAUUAAUUUAUAUACUACAUUAUAUAUACGUUUUAAUAAAUACUAUACAUACUACAAUAUAUUAUACUUCUAUAAAAAUUAUAAAUAGUAAUUGGAUACUAUUAAAUAAUAUACAUUGUGAAUAAUGUUGGUAUUAGUAUUAUAUGUAAGUUUUAAUAAGGAACUCGGCAAAAGUGCUCCUCAACUGUUUAUCAAAAACAUAACUAUGUGUAUAUAUUCAUAGCGGUAUCUGCUCAAUGAUUAUUAAAUAGCCGCAGUAUACUGACUGUGCAAAGGUAGCAUAAUCAAUUGGCUUAUAAUUGAAGUCUGGAAUGAAGGAAAGUAUGGGGAGCAACUGUCUCAAAAAAAAUACGAGAAUUUAUUUAUGAAGUGAAAAUCCUUCUCUCAAUAUAAGGGACGAGAAGACCCUAGAAAUUUUUAGUAAUACGGGUAUAUCCUUAGUAAUUUUCGCUGGGGCGGCGGAGUAACAUUGAACUUACUUAUAUAACAUGCGCCUCGUUUGGCAAUUGAUAAAAUUACUCUAGGGAUAACAGCAUAAUAUUUAAAAGUUUGUGACCUCGAUGUUGGACUAGGACAUAAUAACCUAAAAGGUUUUUUACAGUGCUCUGUUCGAGCAUAAACUCCUACAUGAUCUGAGU
rnacentral:rRNA from 1 species